rnacentral:rRNA from 1 species
GAUGAACGCUAGCGGCAGGCUUAAUACAUGCAAGUCGAGGGGCAGCACGAAUAGCAAUAUUUGGUGGCGACCGGCGCACGGGUGCGUAACACGUAUACAACCUACCUAUAACAGGGGGAUAGCCUUUCGAAAGAGAGAUUAAUACCCCAUAAUAAAUUGAAUAGCAUUAUUUGAUUUUGAAAGAUCCGUCGAUAGAAGAUGAGUAUGCGUCUGAUUAGCUAGUUGGUGAGGUAAUGGCUCACCAAGGCUACGAUCAGUAGGGGAUCUGAGAGGACUACCCCCCACACUGGUACUGAGACACGGACCAGACUCCUACGGGAGGCAGCAGUAAGGAAUAUUGGACAAUGGAGGCAACUCUGAUCCAGCCAUGCCGCGUGCAGGAUGAAGGCCCUAUGGGUCGUAAACUGCUUUUGUACGAGAGAAAACCUAUUUACGUGUAGAUAGUUGAUAGUAUCGUAAGAAUAAGGAUCGGCUAACUUCGUGCCAGCAGCCG